rnacentral:rRNA from 1 species
CUACGGGUGGCUGCAGUGAGGAAUAUUGCACAAUGGGGGGAACCCUGAUGCAGCAACGCCGCGUGGAGGAUGACACUUUUCGGAGCGUAAACUCCUUUUAUAUAGGAAGAAGAUGACGGUACUAUAUGAAUAAGCGCCGGCUAACUCCGUGCCAGCAGCCGCGGUAAUACGUAAGGUCCAAGCGUUAUCCGGAAUUAUUGGGCGUAAAGCGUCCGCAGGUGGUUGUGAAAGUCAGUUAUUAAAUACCGGUGCUCAACAUCGGUGCUGUAAUUGAAACUUCUUAACUAGAGUAUAGGAGAGGCAUGUGGAAUGGUGCAAGUAGGGGUAAAAUCCGUAGAUAUGCAUCGGAACACCAAAAGCGAAGGCAGCAUGCUGGACUAUUACUGACACUCAGGGACGAAAGCGUGGGUAGCAAAAGGGAUUAGAUACCCCCGUAGUC